GAGUUUGAUCGUGGCUCAGAUUGAACGCUGGCGGCAUGCCUUACACAUGCAAGUCGAACGGCAGCACGGGAGCUUGCUCCUGGUGGCGAGUGGCGAACGGGUGAGUAAUGCAUCGGAACGUAUCCUGGAGUGGGGGAUAACGUAGCGAAAGUUACGCUAAUACCGCAUAUUCUGUGAGCAGGAAAGCGGGGGACCUUCGGGCCUCGCGCUCUUGGAGCGGCCGAUGUCGGAUUAGCUAGUUGGUGAGGUAAAGGCUCACCAAGGCGACGAUCCGUAGCAGGUCUGAGAGGAUGAUCUGCCACACUGGAACUGAGACACGGUCCAGACUCCCACGGGAGGCAGCAGUGGGAAUUUUGGACAACGGGGGCAACCCUGAUCCAGCCAUGCCGCGUGAGUGAAGAAGGCCUCGGUUGUAA
rnacentral:rRNA from 1 species